CGCACGGUGGCUUUGUGGUUAGCACGUUCGCCUCAGGUCACACCUCCAGGGUCCAGGGUUCGAUUCCCGCCGUGUGU